GGGCCCAUAGCUCAGUUGGUAAGAGCAGCGGACUCAUAAUCCGAAGGUCGGGGGUUCAAACCCCUCUGGGCCCA
rnacentral:tRNA from 1 species